AUACGGAGGAUGCGAGCGUUAUCCGGAUUUAUUGGGUUUAAAGGGUGCGUAGGCUGUGCGUUAAGUCAGGGGUGAAAUGCCGUCGCUCAACGACGGAGCUGCCCUUGAUACUGGCGUGCUGGAGUACGGAUGCCGUUGGAGGAAUGAGUGGUGUAGCGGUGAAAUGCUUAGAUAUCACUCAGAACACCGAUUGCGAAGGCAUCUGACGAAUCCGUCAUUGACGCUGAGGCACGAAAGCGGGGGGAUAGAACAGGAUUAGAUACCCUGGUAUUCCACGCCGUAAACGAUGAUGACUAACCGUCGGCGAUAGACAGCCGGUGGCCAAGCGAAAGCGAUAAGUCAUCCACCUGGGGAGUACGUCGGCAACGAUGAAACUCAAAUGAAUUGGCGGGG
rnacentral:rRNA from 1 species